rnacentral:rRNA from 1 species
UACGUAGGGCGCAAGCGUUGUCCGGAAUUAUUGGGCGUAAAGAGCUCGUAGGCGGUUUGUCGCGUCUGCUGUGAAAACUCGAGGCUCAACCUCGGGCUUGCAGUGGGUACGGGCAGACUAGAGUGCGGUAGGGGGUGACUGGAAUUCCUGGUGUAGCGGUGGAAUGCGCAGAUAUCAGGAGGAACACCGGUGGCGAAGGCGGG